ACCCUUUAAUGUUUGAUGUUCUAACGUGGACCCGUGAUCCGGGUUGCGGACAGUGUCUGGUGGGUAGUUUGACUGGGGCGGUCUCCUCCUAAAGAGUAACGGAGGAGCACGAAGGUUGGCUAAUCCUGGUCGGACAUCAGGAGGUUAGUGCAAUGGCAUAAGCCAGCUUGACUGCGAGCGUGACGGCGCGAGCAGGUGCGAAAGCAGGUCAUAGUGAUCCGGUGGUUCUGAAUGGAAGGGCCAUCGCUCAACGGAUAAAAGGUACUCCGGGGAUAACAGGCUGAUACCGCCCAAGAGUUCAUAUCGACGGCGGUGUUUGGCACCUCGAUGUCGGCUCAUCACAUCCUGGGGCUGAAGUAGGUCCCAAGGGUAUGGCUGUUCGCCAUUUAAAGUGGUACGCGAGCUGGGUUUAGAACGUCGUGAGACAGUUCGGUCCCUAUCUGCCGUGGGCGCUGGAGAACUGAGGGGGGCUGCUCCUAGUACGAGAGGACCGGAGUGGACGCAUCACUGGUGUUCGGGUUGUCAUGCCAAUGGCACUGCCCGGUAGCUAAAUGCGGAAGAGAUAAGUGCUGAAAGCAUCUAAGCACGAAACUUGCCCCGAGAUGAGUUCUCCCUGAGACUUAAAGUCUCCUGAAGGA
rnacentral:rRNA from 1 species